GGUUCUCUGAGGUGUACGUUGUAUAUAUAUUGUGUGGACCGAACAUUUCUUUUUAUCUUGGGAUCCUACGAUCAUGUUUCUAUGACAAGCCUUUUACAUUUGGAAGUCAGAACAAACUUGUGUGGAGCCCACCUGUAGUUACUUGCAGGUUCAAUAACAUAUAUGUACGGAAACGGCACCACCGGAUGCUUU
rnacentral:other from 1 species